rnacentral:rRNA from 1 species
AGCAGCCGCGGUAAUUCCAGCUCCAAUAGCGUAUAUUAAAGUUGUUGCAGUUAAAAAGCUCGUAGUUGAAUUUCGGGGUUAGUAGAUUGGUCAUGCCUCUGGUAUGUACUGGUCUUACUGAUUCCUCCUUCCUGAUGAACCGUAAUGCCAUUAAUUUGGUGUUGCGGGGAGACUGGACUGUUACUUUGAAAAAAUUAGAGUGUUUAAAGCAAGCUAACGCUUGAAUACAUUAGCAUGGAAUAAUGAAAUAGGACGUUCGAUCUUAUUUUGUUGGUUUCUAGGAUUGACGUAAUGAUUAAUAGGGAUAGUUGGGGGCAUUAGUAUUCAAUUGUCAGAGGUGAAAUUCUUGGAUUUAUUGAAGACUAACUACUGCGAAAGCAUUUGCCAAGGAUGUUUUCAUUAAUCAAGAACGAAAGUUAGGGGAUCGAAGACGAUCAGAUACCGUCGUAGUCUUAACCAUAAACUAUGCCGACUAGGGAUCGGAUGAUGUUAAUUUUUAAUGACUCAUUCGGCGCCUUAC